GCUGGCGGCGUGCCUAAUACAUGCAAGUCGAGCGAACGGACGAGAAGCUUGCUUCUCUGAUGUUAGCGGCGGACGGGUGAGUAACACGUGGAUAACCUACCUAUAAGACUGGGAUAACUUCGGGAAACCGGAGCUAAUACCGGAUAAUAUUUUGAACCGCAUGGUUCAAAAGUGAAAGACGGUCUUGCUGUCACUUAUAGAUGGAUCCGCGCUGCAUUAGCUAGUUGGUAAGGUAACGGCUUACCAAGGCAACGAUGCAUAGCCGACCUGAGAGGGUGAUCGGCCACACUGGAACUGAGACACGGUCCAGACUCCUACGGGAGGCAGCAGUAGGGAAUCUUCCGCAAUGGGCGAAAGCCUGACGGAGCAACGCCGCGUGAGUGAUGAAGGUCUUCGGAUCGUAAAACUCUGUUAUUAGGGAAGAACAUAUGUGUAAGUAACUGUGCACAUCUUGACGGUACCUAAUCAGAAAGCCACGGCUAACUACGUGCCAGCAGCCGCGGUAAUACGUAGGUGGCAAGCGUUAUCCGGAAUUAUUGGGCGUAAAGCGCGCGUAGGCGGUAUUUUAAGUCUGAUGUGAAAGCCCACGGCUCAACCGUGGAGGGUCAUUGGAAACUGGAAAACUUGAGUGCAGAAGAGGAAAGUGGAAUUCCAUGUGUAGCGGUGAAAUGCGCAGAGAUAUGGAGGAACACCAGUGGCGAAGGCGACUUUCUGGUCUGUAACUGACGCUGAUGUGCGAAAGCGU
rnacentral:rRNA from 1 species